GCUUAUUUGAAAACAAUAAUAAAAAAUAUAGGUCACCGAUGAGUUAAAAAAGAUAUUUCAAUUUUAAUGCCCAAAAAUGGCAUUUUUGAACCAAAGGCAGAUAAUUUGGAGCUUUUUCAAUGAUGUAAACAUUUUAAAAGUCAUCUUUGGCCAAACCGAAUCGAUUUGUUUGGGUGAUUCUUGUACCAUAUCAUAAGGUAAUAACUAAUAGUGUAAUAAAUAAAAUUUGUAAUGAAAAAAAAAA
rnacentral:lncRNA from 1 species